rnacentral:rRNA from 1 species
UACGUAGGGUGCGAGCGUUUGUCCGGAAUUAUUGGGCGUAAAGGGCUCGUAGGCGGUUUGUCGCGUCGGGAGUGAAAACUCAGGGCUUAACCCUGAGCCUGCUUCCGAUACGGGCAGACUAGAGGUAUGCAGGGGAGAAUGGAAUUCCUGGUGUAGCGGUGAAAUGCGCAGAUAUCAGGAGGAACACCGGUGGCGAAGGCGGUUCUCUGGGCAUUACCUGACGCUGAGGAGCGAAAGUGUGGGGAGCGAACAGG